GCCAGGGUUCUAUGUCCAGAAUGGUAUCUUCUAAGCUAUCUUCCACAGUUUUUAUAAUUUUAGGUUUCACAUUUAAGUCUUUAAUCCAUCUUGAGUUGACUUUUGUGUAUGGUAUAAAGAAAACAUCCAGUUUCAAUCUUCCACAUAUGCCUAGUCAGUUAUCUUAGUACCAUUUGUUGAAUAGGGAGUGUGAGAUACCAUCUCACACCAGUCAGAAUGGCUAUUAUUAAAAAGUCAAAAGACCACAGAUGCUGGUGAGGUUGUGGAGAAAAGGAAAUACUUAUACACACUGCUGGUGGGAAUAUGAAUUAGUUCAGCCAUUGUGGAAAGCAGUGUGGUGAUUCCUCAAAGAACUUAAAAUGGAAUUACUAUUUGACUCAGCAAUCCCAUCAUUGGGUAUAUACCCAAAGGAAUAUCAAUAAUUAUACCAUAAAGACACAUGCAUGUGUAUUUUCAUUGCAGCACUAUUCACAAUAGCAAGGACAUGGAAUUAGCCUAAAUGCCCAUUAAGGGUAGACUGGAUAAAGAAAAUGUGGAAGAGAUACACCAUGGAAUAAAUACUAUGCAGCCAUGAAAAAGAAUGAGAUCAUGUCCUUUGCAGCAACAUGGGUGGAGCUGGAGGCUGUUAUCCUAACCAAAAGAAUGCAGGAACAUAAAACCAGACACCGCAUGUUCUUACUUAUAAAUGGGAGCUGAACAAUGAAAAUGCAUGGACCCAAAGAAGGAAACAAUAUAUACUGGGGCCUACUUGAGUGUGAAGAAUGGGAGGAAGAAGAGGAUCAGAAAAAAAUACCUAUCAGGUAUUCCCCCAGCUCCGUAGCCAAGCUUCUGGAAAACAACGGGCCUUAGCAGCUGCUAUGGUUUGAAUGCAUCCCCUCCAAAAUUCAGAUGUUAAAACUUAAUGGCCAAUGGGAUAACAUUAAGAGGGGAGGUCUUCAAGAGGUGUGUAGGCCAUGAGGACCCUCUCUCAUGAAUAGGGUUAAAACCCUUACAAAAGAAGCUUCAUACAGCAUUCAGCCUUCUUGCCCUCCUGCCUUCUGCAUGUGAGAAGACAGUGUUCCUCCCCUCUGGAAGAUGCAACAAGGCACCAUCUUAGAAACAGAGAUGAGCCUUCACCAGACACCAAACCUGGCAGUGUCUUGAUAUUGGACUUCCCAGCCUCCAGAACUGUGAGAAAU
rnacentral:lncRNA from 10 species